AAAUUGCAGCCUGACUUGAGUGGAAAUCCUUUUUGCCUGCGGAAAAUUUUCUAUUAAAAAAACAAUUUCGAAGCAAAAAGAUUGGGAACGGAAGGCGGAAAAGCUG
rnacentral:sRNA from 1 species